GGGGAGGAAGAUUGAAAGGGGCAUCAAAUUCGACGGGCAAUGAAAUGGUAUAAUUAUUUGUUUAACUUGUGUAAAAUGCUAAAUUCCCAAAUUCAUUGUAAGCAAAUGUUGUAUGAUUUUACUUACCAAAAGAUAAGAUUGGAUUUCUUCUUUGCCUGUCCACCCCAUUGUCGGUGGAAUCAUUAGUGCUAACUUGAAAAUUAUUGUGUUCCAAAAUCACACCCGAGAUUUCGUAAGGUUGGUGAACCUUUGCCCAAUGUCCUGAUCUCCCUAACUACUCAAGCUAGGCCCUAGUGAAAUAUAUUCUUUCUCCUCCUUGACAUCAUUAUGAAGGAAGCCUCCACACUUCACCAAGUGACACGCUAAACCUAAGCUAACUUAUUUCUCCCUUGGUUCUCUUACUAAUUCCAACUUAGCUGCAUAAGCAUCUAUGAGCUUAAACUUGUUUUCUUCUUUGCAUUUUCGUCCUGGCUAAAUAUAGCAAAUAUCCACAGCUAAACUAAACUCCACAAAUUAUAUUUCAAUUCUAGAUCAUUGUGGCUGCUCAGAGUUUGAAUCAGCCAUUGAACAUAGAGCUUGAACAAUGGAUUCGCAUCAACACCACAACUACAAAUCUCAAGACACAAGUCAAUAAGCCUCAAAAUAAUUCUUUUAAGACAAUGAAGGUCUAAUUGGAUAAGGAUGAAGGAGAGAUAAAUAAAGGAACAAACGUGUAAAUAAUUUAUUUACCAUAUUUGAAAAGAUAUGAAUUAAUUAAGGGUAAGAGUAAAUAAAGAUAAACUUUACGCUCUCCCUUAUAUAGAGGGUAAGAAUAAAUAAAGAUAAACUUUACACUCUUCUUUACCUCUUAAAUCUCAACUUUUCUUACACAAAUAGAGAGAAGUGAGAACUAUAAAUUAUUUUAUUUCUUAAACCCCUCAAAUUUACCAUUCCUUCACCUUUUCACAAAUAUAAAAUGUAUACAUCACAAUAAUUUACCCAUUCCCAAACAUUUUAUUU
rnacentral:misc_RNA from 1 species